CCCUUAGAUGUUCUGGGCCGCACGCGCGUUACACUGAUGCAUUCAACGAGUUUUUCCUUGGCCGAGAGGCCUGGGCAAUCUUUUAAACGUGCAUCGUGAUAGGGAUAGAUUAUUGCAAUUAUUAAUCUUGAACGAGGAAUUCCUAGUAAACGCAGAUCAUCAAUCUGCAUUGAUUACGUCCCUGCCCUUUGUACACACCGCCCGUCGCACCUACCGAUUGAAUGGUCCGGUGAAGCCUCGGGAUUGUGGCGAGUUCCCUUUAUUGGGAGUUUGUCGCGAGAACUUGUCUAAACCUUAUCAUUUAGAGGAAGGUGAAGUCGUAACA
rnacentral:rRNA from 1 species